UUCUAGAAACAACUGUCAGUAAAAGUGAAAGACCCCCGAAGGGAGACCCUCACUCAAGCACUCAAGCCCCGGGACAGCCGCGGACCCAAGAAGACACUGAGACCG
rnacentral:pre_miRNA from 7 species